GGUCCAGGCACUCAGGAUUGCUGCAGGAAGGCAGGUAUAUUGUAACCAAAUUGUAAAAAAAAAAAAUGUUACGAUAAACUUGCCUUCCUACAGCAAUCCUGAGUGCCUGGACU